rnacentral:rRNA from 1 species
GCCCUUAGAAGUUUGAUCCUGGCUCAGAACGAACGCUGGCGGCAGGCCUAACACAUGCAAGUCGAGCGCGCCCUUCGGGGUGAGCGGCGGACGGGAGAGGAACACGUAGGUAAUUUGCCCUAGGGCGGGGANCAACCAACCGAAAGGUUGGCUAAUACCCCGUAAGACCACGAUCACUAAUGUGAACGAGGUAAAAGAUUUAUCGCCCUAGGAUAAGCCUGCGCCCCAUUAGCUUGAUGGUAGGGUAACGGCCUACCAUGGCUACGAUGGGUAACUGGUCUGAGAGGAUGAUCAGUCUCACUGGAACUGAGACACGGUCCAGACUCCUACGGGAGGCAGCAGUAGGGAAUAUUGCACAAUGGAGGAAACUCUGAUGCAGCGACGCCGCGUGAGUGAUGACGGUUUUCGGAUUGUAAAGCUCUGUUCUUAGGGAAUAAGAAAGUGAAUGUACCUAAGAAGAAAGCACCGGCUAACUCCGUGCCAGCAGCCGCGGUAAUAAGGGCG